CAUACCACCCUGAACGUGACUGAUCUUUUCUGGUCUCAGAAGCUAAGCAGGUCAGACCUGGUUAGUACUUGGAUGGGGGACCACCUGGGAAUACCAGGUUAAAAAAAAA
rnacentral:rRNA from 1 species